UCAAUUUCACUACCACCUGUUUUGGAAAGGAAAGAGUCAUUUUAACUCGUCUUACCUGGAAGUUAGGGACAUGGACCCAUGAUUUACAGCUUAUACAUGACUUUAUCGGACCUGUAACUGUGAAUGUACCGUAUUUUCAGUUUAGAUUCAACAAUAUAUUGAGCUGCUGGCAAUAACUGAGCACUUGAGUGAGUUAACACAGGGAUUGCCCCUGUUCAGCUGUCUGGAAAAUUGGUGAAAUUCCCAAGCUGCACGUAAGGAAGUUCCCUGCAAGAGUAAAGGCACAAAGUUAUAGAAAAGCUGCUCCCGACAACAUGAUACAAUGUUACAGUUUUCCCUUGUCGCCAGAGAUCUGAGACAAUUUAUUUUAGGAGUUGAGAUGUGAGAGGGAAAAUUCACUUUAAAAGGUUUCAAUACUUUGAGAUCUGUAGACUAGUUCAUGUGGACAGAAUCAUUCUAAGGACAAAGUAUAAGCUGUGCAGGAUACAGAAGACAGGUGUUUGAAUUAAUUACCUGGCCAAAGGUCAAGAAAAACACAC